UGGGGAAUAUUGGACAAUGGGCGAAAGCCUGAUCCAGCCAUGCCGCGUGUGUGAAGAAGGUCUUCGGAUUGUAAAGCACUUUAAGUUGGGAGGAAGGGCAGUAAGCGAAUACCUUGCUGUUUUGACGUUACCGACAGAAUAAGCACCGGCUAACUCUGUGCCAGCAGCCGCGGUAAUACAGAGGGUGCAAGCGUUAAUCGGAAUUACUGGGCGUAAAGCGCGCGUAGGUGGUUCGUUAAGUUGAAUGUGAAAGCCCCGGGCUCAACCUGGGAACUGCAUCCAAAACUGGCGGGCUAGAGUAGGGCAGAGGGUGGUGGAAUUUCCUGAGUAGCGGUGAAAUGCGUAGAUAUAGGAAGGAACACCAGUGGCGAAGGCGACCACCUGGGCUCAUACUGACACUGAGGUGCGAAAGCGUGGGGAGCAAACAGG
rnacentral:rRNA from 1 species